rnacentral:misc_RNA from 1 species
UCCGGCUUAUCACCGGCAGUCUGCUCAGGGUUCCAAACUAAAUGUUGGCAACUAAACACGAGGGUUGCGCUCGUUGCGGGACUUAACCCAACACCUUACGGCACGAGCUGACGACAGCCAUGCAGCACCUGUGCAGGAUCUCCGAAGAGGGGCUCUCGUUUCUGAGAGCUUGCUCCUGCAUGUCAAGCCUAGGUAAGGUUCUUCGCGUUGCGUCGAAUUAAACCACAUGCUCCACCGCUUGUGCGGGCCCCCGUCAAUUCCUUUGAGUUUCAACCUUGCGGUCGUACUCCCCAGGCGGGGUACUUCCUGCGUUAGCGCCGGCACCCAGAGGGUCGCUCCCCCAGGCGGUGCGCUUAACGCGUUAGCUCCGGCACGGGGAGGGUCAAAUCUCCCCACACCA